UUUUUUCUAACGUAUAAAUGGUUUUGGUGUUUUAAAGAUACUCUUCCUCUUUUUGUACUUAUGUCUGUUGAUGGAAACGGCGAGAGCGAGGUUAUAGCAUUCUGGAUAGUUUCUGACGAAUCUCGAGAAACUAUAAAAGAAAUAACGCAACUCUUCAAAAAGUACAAAGAAAACUGGUCCAAAAUUCGAUGUGUAAUGAGUGACAAAGACAUGAUCGAGAGAGACGUCAUUAGGGAAGAAAUACCAAAUGUACCCUUACUAAUAUGUCUUUUCCAUGUACUAAGAACUUUCAAGAGAGAAGUGACUACUGAGAAGCUUGGAAUUUCAAAAGACGAACGUAUUUUGGCUCUUGAAUUGCUUCAAAAGAUGGCAUAUGCUAGGACCGAAGACAGCUACUCAGAAUUUUAUCGUGAACUUAAAGACACUAAUCUUGAGUCAGUUAUUAGGUACUUUGACAAGAAGUUUGUAUAGCUGAAUGAAAUUUGUGUCUUGAUAUUGUUUCAGUUUUGUUUCAAACGAAUCCUAAGUAUUAAAUUUUUCACCCACAACAAAAUUGGUCACAAGAAUCUCUUCAUCCAUUGUGCAUUGUAUAAUGACAGUAAUACGAGUAGGUGUGCAGUUAAAUACUUAAAGUGAACACUUUUCUCAGCCCGAGUUCUCAACAACAAACCUUUGGUCUAUAUUUUCGCCUUUGGCACUACUUAUCUAAAGUAGUUAGAUAUAGGAAGAUGUGGUGUGAGUGCCAAUGAGACAACUCUCCAUCCAAAUAACAAUUUAAAAAGUAGUAGCUUUAAAACACCAAAACCAUUUAUACGUUAGAAAAAACAAUUUAAACACC
rnacentral:lncRNA from 1 species